rnacentral:rRNA from 1 species
GAUGAACGCAGCGGCAGGCUUAACACAUGCAAGUCAGGGGUAGCAGGAAUUGCUUGCAAUUCGCUGACGACCGGCGCACGGGUGCGUAACGCGUAUGCAACUACCUUCAACAGGGGGAUAGCCAGGGGAAACCCUGAUUAAUACCCCAUAAUAAUUCAAUUUCGCAUGUUAUUGAAUUUAAAACUCCGGUGGUUGAAGAUGGGCAUGCGUCCUAUUAGUUUGUUGGUGAGGUAACGGCUCACCAAGACUACGAUAGGUAGGGGGCCUGAGAGGGUGAUCCCCCACACUGGUACUGAGACACGGACCAGACUCCUACGGGAGGCAGCAGUGAGGAAUAUUGGUCAAUGGACGAAAGUCUGAACCAGCCAUGCCGCGUGCAGGAUUGAAGGCCCUAUGGGUUGUAAACUGCUUUUAUAAGAGAAGAAACCUAGGUUCGUGAACCUAGCUGACGGUAUCUUAUGAAUAAGCACCGGCUAACUCCGUG